rnacentral:rRNA from 1 species
UACGUAGGGGGCGAGCGUUGUUCGGAAUCAUUGGGCGUAAAGGGCGUGUAGGCGGUCUGUUAAGUCAUGUGUGAAAUCCCUCGGCUCAACCGGGGGAACGACGCAUGAAACUGACAGCUAGAGUACCAAAGAGGGGGGUGGAAUUCCCGGGUGUAGCGGUGGAAAUCGUAGAUAUCGGGGAGGAACACCUGUGGCGAAGGCGGCCCC